rnacentral:lncRNA from 1 species
AUUUUUUUUUUCUUUCUGUGAGAUCAUUGCAGUCCUCAGUUUCGGCAAAGGCACUUUUACUUAAAUCAAUCUUGAUGAGUUAAACUAGGGAAGAAACAUAAUCACGGUUUCUUCCAGGCCAUAUAAAUCAUAAGGAGAAUGAUUUGUCACUUCUUUUAAUGAUGACUAGAAGCAAAAGGCAUUUGUACAGGAUAUGUAAUUUACAGAUGGAGGGAAAAUGUAUGUGAUUGGGGAUUUGUAAGAGGUUGCUUUUUUCUAAUUUAACAGAGACCUGUGAAUAUGAAUCAUCCCAUUCACGUGGCAGGAUUGUGUUCACCAGACUGACCACUAAGGAAGCACUUGCCUCAGGCCCUGUUUACAGAGUGCAAGAGGCGCUUAGACUACUCCAUGUUCCUGGUAAGAUCAAUAUUUAUCAAUACCAUCUACCCUCUGACUACCACUACAAAUUACCUGAGAACUCUCCCAAGGUGAAAAACUAAUAUAGAACGUCUCCUUAAGGGGCGUCUGUGUGGCUCAGUCAUUAAGCACCUGCCUUUGGCUCAGGGUGUGAUCCCGGUGUUCUGGGAUCAAGCCCCACAUCAGGCUCCUCUGCUGGGAGCCUGCUUCUUCCUCUCCCACUUCCCCUGCUUGUGUUCCCUCUCUGGCUGGCUGUCUCUCUCUCUGUCAUAUAAAUAAAUAAAAUCUUAAAAAAAAAAAAAGAACUUCUCCUUAAGAGACUAAUUCCAUGAUGUCUCCCAUUUCUGUUUACUUCAGUCAACAGACUUAAGAAGUCCAAGGCUUAUAGGCAUAUCUCAUUACCCACAAUCUCUUUUCCACAUGGCUCUGCAUGUUCUAUAAAUGGGCCCUCAUUUUUACUUGUAAUUGGAAGCUAGCUUUUUUACAGCCUUCUUAGGUGGUGGCAUUCCACAUAGUACUAGAGGUGGGGUAAGUUCAACUUUCCUCAUUGCUCUUUCCAG